rnacentral:lncRNA from 1 species
GACAAAAAUACCUAAAACUAAUAGUAAGAAAUGUUGGAGAGGUUGUGGAGAAAAAGGAACCCUCAUACACUGCUGGUGGGAAUGCAAACUGGUGCAGCCACUAUGGAAAACAGUAUGGGGAUUCCUCAAAAAAUCAAAAAUAGAACUACCAUACGACCCAGCUAUCCCACUACUGGGUAUCUACCCAAAGAGCUUGAAGUCAGCAAUUCCAAAAGCCCUAUGCACCCCAAUGUUCAUUGCAGCAUUAUUUACAAUAGCCAAGACAUGGAAGCAACCAAAGUGCCCAUCAACAGAUGAUUGGAUAAAGAAGAUGUGGUAUACAUAUACAAUGGAAUACUACUCUGCCAUAAAACAGAACAAAAUCGUCCCAUUUGCAACAACAUGGAUGGACCUUGAGGGAAUUAUGUUAAGUGAAAUAAGCCAGUUAGAGAAAGACAAUCUCUGUAUGACUCCACUCAUAUGAGGAAUUUAAAAAUGUAGACAAGAGAACAGAUUAGUGGCUACCAGGGGAAAGGGGGGGUGGGGGAUGGGCACAAAGGGAGAAGCGGUGUACCUACAACACGACUGACACACAAUAAUGUACUACUGAAAUUUCACAAGAUGGUAACCUAUCAUUAGCUCAAUAAAAAAAUACUAAUAAUAAAAAAAUAAGCACCUAAUGAUAAAAGCAAGACUAAUAGCUAAUACCUUUGCUGCUUUCACUAUGUUCCAGGUACUUCUAAACGCUUUGCGUUUGUCAAUCGUUGAAGUCUCACAAUACCUCUGUGGUAGGUUCACUAUUCUCCCCCUUUUCAAGCUGCAUGUUUUUCAUCAAAGCCACUUUUUGGGUUUUGUAAUACAGUUUUCCAGAACACGUCAACUUUCCUUCCGUCACGUUGCUUGAGAGAAGCGUGUUUUCCAGCCAGAGCUGAGGCAGUCCUGGACAUCAUUCCCAGACGCACUUCCUCCUGGAGUCUUUGGCUUACUCCGUGUGGGCUGGUGCACUGCCCUCCAGGAGCUUCCCCACCCUUGCCCUGGGAAUCCCUCAAGCUCUGCAGGGUGACAGCAUCAGCUUCCUAGACCCUAAGUCUUCCUCUUGAAUAAUUUAUCACUUUGGGGGAACUUCAUCAAGUAGCUUCCUGAGGAAAGGGAAACUUGGGGUGGUAAGUUUCUUGAGAUCUUUUAAGUUUCUGUUGGAUUUCCAUUCCUGCUAUGAUAACUUUUAAUUCUCAAGACCUCUUUUUUUAUUGCAACCUGUCCUUAUUUCACGCAUACAAUAUCUUUUUCUCGCUUUUAGGAUAAUAACAACUUUUGUGAAGAUGUUUAAAUUUUUUCUUUGCACGGAUCAUUUCUUUCGAUUUCUUCCCUCUCGGCUUGCUUUGUCCCUUCUUACUUUAGAAUGCUAUACUCACUUCCGAUGUCUGCUGGUUCUGGGUUGUCUGCUUCUGUUGAGGAACGGGACUCGGCCACGCUGUGGGGAGCUCUGAACACAUGGAUGGUACUUUUGACUGUGGGAUUUGCUGAGGAACUAUCUGGUGGGUAUUAUUGUUAGGGAAUCUGCUGUGUCGGUUUGUUGAGCUCUUUUCUCUUUGGGCUGGUCAGAUUUUUCAGAGAAGGGUUUUCUGAUUUUCUGUGUGCAAGGUACAUGCCCAGCAGCCACCAUUCUGGGGUCCAAGAGGCAACUGAAGGUCCAAAUAGAAGCCCCUUGAGAGAGAAAGGGCAGAAUCCAGGACCAUACAGUUUCUUUGGGGGUCAUACAGUCCUAAACCUCACUGUAACAAGUGAAACCAAACGGCGGCGGUGAGAAAUUUGACCUAGUUCUCCAGCGACCUUCAGUCCCAGGUUUCUGAGGGAAACGGCCUGUUUUGGACAUUUCCUCAUCGUUCCCCAGGCUCAUACCAACCUAUACGCCAAUAAAUGCGAGUUGUUUUGCUUUGUUUGGUCUUUCACAAAAAUGGGAUCAUACAACACAUGUUACUCUGUACUUUGCUUUUUACACGUAAUGAUAUAUCAUAUUCACCCCACUUAAA